rnacentral:rRNA from 2 species
CGGAGAUUCAGCAAUGGAUCUUAGUGGCGAACGGGUGAGUAACGCGUAGGCAAUCUGCCUUCUAGAUGGGGACAACAUCCCGAAAGGGGUGCUAAUACCGAAUGUUGUAGUUGGUUCGCAUGGACUAGCUACUAAAGGUGGCCUCUGAAUAUGCUACCGCUAGAAGAUGAGCCUGCGUCUGAUUAGCUAGUUGGAGGGGUAACGGCCCACCAAGGCGACGAUGGGUAGCCGAUCUGAGAGGAUGAACGGCCACACUGGAACUGAGACACGGUCCAGACUCCUACGGGAGGCAGCAGUGGGGAAUAUUGGGCAAUGGAGGCAACUCUGACCCAGCAACGCCGCGUGAAUGAAGAAGGUCUUCGGAUUGUAAAGUUCUUUAAUUGGUGACGAACAAAUGACGGUAGCCAAAGAAUAAGCCACGACUAACUACGUGCCAGCAGUCGCGGUAAUACGUAGGUGGCAAGCGUUGUCCGGAAUGACUGGGCGUAAAGGGAGCGUAGGCGGCGAAACAAGUUAGGAGUGAAAUCCCGAGGCUUAACCUCGGAACUGC